CAUCACCUGAGUCCCAGUCCAGUGUGUUAUCCACAUGGCCUCCCACUUCUGAAUCACUACUAACCCAGCGUCCACCACAGUAUGCGAGGACACUGCGCCGUUGGUGGUGCCCUUGUUCAGUGCACAUGGGCACCUCAGAGCAUCCGCACUGAGUUUGGAAGCACUAAGUAAAUGUUUUCAAAAAACGCGGAGGUAAUAAAGGUGACUGGACGAGCCAGGUUUUAACAGAUGAACUCCCAGAAUUUCUGCUGGCUCAACUUGGUGUCCCCAGCUCGGCUGUGCUGGGCAGAGUUUGUUUUUUUGGAAGGAACAGAAAGACACUGUCUAAAAUUCAUUUGCACAACCAUAUCCUGGCGCUAUAAGAGGGUUACUAGCUUUCUUUGAUCAGUUCUUCCCUUAACCGUAAUUGCCACUGUAGCCAUUGGCACUAAAAUAAUUUAGAUUAGCAAAAUAACCUAUUGCAGAAGCCUGUGAUUAUAGUAUGAUAGAAGGAAUGAAGUAUGGACUAGCCAGAUGAGCAGAGGCCAGGAAGUCAGGAAUUCCUGAACUCUAGUAUUCCCUCUGCCACUCAUUUUCUUGUUGGCCUUGAGUAAGUAACUUAGGCCCUGAUUUUCAUAAGUGCUGAGCCCCCACUGACUCCAGCUGGAAUUGUAGGUGCCCAGCACCUUUGAAAAUGAGGCCUUUAAUCCUCUUCUUCAGCCCAGUCUCUAGAAUAUGGAAUAAUAACACAUCCAUCUGUCAUGAAAGUGCU